rnacentral:rRNA from 1 species
AACGAACGCUGGCGGCGUGCUUAACACAUGCAAGUCGAACGCGAAAGGGACUUCGGUCCUGAGUAAAGUGGCGCACGGGUGAGUAACGCGUAGAUAACCUAUCUUCACGUCUGGAAUAAUACGCCGAAAGGGGUACUAAUACCGGAUAUUCUUGCUUUUCAUAAGUUUUGCAAGGAAAGGUGGCCUCUGUAUAUGCUACUGCGGGAAGAGGGGUCUGCGUACCAUUAGCUAGUAGGUGGGGUAAUGGCCUACCUAGGCUACGAUGGUUAGCGGGUCUGAGAGGAUGAGCCGCCACACUGGCACUGGAACACGGGGCAGACUCCUACGGGACGAAGCAUUGAGGAAUAUUGCGCAAUGGGGGAAACCCUGACGCAGCGACGCCGCGUGAGUGAGGAAGGCCUUCGGGUCGUAAAGCUCUGUCAAAGGGAAAGAAGUGCAUGAUGGCUAAUACCUGUCAUGUUUGACGGUACCCUUAAAGGAAGCACCGGCUAACUCCGUGCCAGCAGCCGCCGUAACAC